rnacentral:rRNA from 1 species
UACGUAGGGUGCGAGCGUUGCCCGGAUUUAUUGGGCGUAAAGGGCGCGUAGGCGGCGUGACAAGUCACUUGUGAAAUCUCUGGGCUUAACCCAGAACGGCCAAGUGAAACUGUUGUGCUAGAGUGCAGAAGGGGCAAUCGGAAUUCUCGGUGUAGCGGUGAAAUGCGUAGAUAUCGAGAGGAACACCAGAGGUGAAGACGGGUUGCUGGGCUGACACUGACGCUGAGGCGCGAAAGCCAGGGGAGCAAACAGG